rnacentral:ncRNA from 2 species
GUAUAUAAAACUGAUCAGGCCGCACCGGUACAGGUGUGUGGAGCCGGGCUGGAAACAGCAACAGGAAGCUGCGUUCCUGCUGCAAACCCUGUGGGACAGAA